rnacentral:lncRNA from 1 species
GACUGGGCAAGCUGACAUGAAGAUAAAUAGCUAGAGUUCCUUCAGUCAGACAUGGCUGGUGCUGUGGUUGAGCUGCUUCAUGGACACGUUGAAAACUUGCCUGUAGCUGCUUCAUGGACACGUUGAAAACUUGCCUGUAUGAACACCUGUAUAAAUACGACGUGAUCGCUUGUUUACUGGGAGCCACAUCUUCAGAUCAGCCUAACCUUUGGCUACAGCAGCCAAGAAUUUUGCCCAAAUCCUUCCAUGAUUAACACAGAAAUUGUCUCAAUUGUACAACUUCACCUAUGUCAACAAAGAUGUGUUUUAGUGCUAUAUUGUAUCUUGCAUAAUAGGUCUCUUAAGCAAUGGAAGUGACACUAUAUUGUGUAAGAAUUUCUUUAAUGGCAAAUAUUAUGUAGCUUUAUAAAAUAUUUAAAGACACUAAAAAAUCAGUGGUUGUCCUGAAUUAAAUAUUGAAAGCUGUGUUCAGUGCAUCCCCCAGCUGUGUUCAGUGACUACUUAGCAUCCAUGGGCAGCGUGAGAUGCACCAUUGUCUUGUCACAGUAUGUCCUGAGCAUCCCACCUUCCCCUGCUCCACAGAGCUUCCACCUGUCUGCUUCACUCCCCCAAGACAUCUCGUUUUGUGGAUAAAGGCAGCUCCAAGAUAGAAGGCAACACAUCCCUAGAGAACAAAACAAAUCAAAACAAUAACAACAACAAAACCCACUAGCUAGUGACCAGCCUUGGUGGGGCUGGUGAUGGAUAAUCCAUCAUGCCUCAUUUUCUCACUUACGAAAUGACAGUUAUGCCACAUUAGAAGGUCAGGGAGAUUUUUGACAAUCUGGUGAAAGAUGUAGGUGAUGAAAAUCUUUGAUUCAAGACUGGGAAUUUUACCACAUGGGAUUUCUUCUCAGGGCUGAAAAGCAUUGAAAAUAAGCUUUCUUCCUAAAAGGUCAUCUAAAAAUCUGUAUCUUUUACUUUGCUGCCUUUGCUGUCUUAAAGUGGUGUUUGAGAGAAGCUGCAUUCCUCCCCCCUGAACAAGCACAUCUCUCAUCUGACCAGACCAGGAGACCUGAGAAACUUUGGGCUGGAAGAAGUUAUCAGAACUUCCACUGGAGAGGCAGAUCUGGGUCCCCUUGAACCACCCAAAUCCCUUGGGAGAACAGUAGGAUCCAGGUGAAAACAGAUGGGGUUGGUUCAAAUUCUUCAGCCGGCCGUUGCUGGCCAUUCUUCAGAGUAAAUCCUGGGCCUGACUAAAAAAAUCCAGGCCAA